rnacentral:tRNA from 2 species
CGGGAAGUAGCGCAGCUUGGUAGCGCGCAGCGUUCGGGACGCUGAGGCCGCGGGUUCAAGUCCCGCCUUCCCGACCA